UGGGGAAUAUUGCACAAUGGGCGCAAGCCUGAUGCAGCCAUGCCGCGUGUAUGAAGAAGGCCUUCGGGUUGUAAAGUACUUUCAGCGAGGAGGAAGGCGUUGUGGUUAAUAACCGCAACGAUUGACGUUACUCGCAGAAGAAGCACCGGCUAACUCCGUGCCAGCAGCCGCGGUAACACGGAGGGUGCAAGCGUUAAUCGGAAUUACUGGGCGUAAAGCGCACGCAGGCGGUCUGUCAAGUCGGAUGUGAAAUCCCCGGGCUCAACCUGGGAACUGCAUCCGAAACUGGCAGGCUAGAGUCUUGUAGAGGGGGGUAGAAUUCCAGGUGUAGCGGUGAAAUGCGUAGAGAUCUGGAGGAAUACCGGUGGCGAAGGCGGCCCCCUGGACAAAGACUGACGCUCAGGUGCGAAAGCGUGGGGAGCAAACA
rnacentral:rRNA from 1 species